ensembl:lncRNA
CAAAGGCGUUUCUGUUAUAUGUAUCUGUUUCUCUUGGCUUUCUUGCACAUGGUUUAGAUAUAUUGGGAAGGUGCAGCUGAGGAAACAAUCAGGGACACGGCAGAGAAACACCCACAGGAGAAAACACCAGGACAGGAAGUGACACCGGAGACAGGAAACUACAAAACAAAACAGGAAACGAACCCACACCGUGACCAAGGAAAAAGAAGAGGGAGAAGGAAAAACACGCAGAUAAAUACAACUUUAUACAACAACCAGGUCUUUUCCAGCCACGACAACGAAGGCAGUGGCAACAACCCGCAACAAGAAGGACUUCCAAACAUUCACAUUAACAUUGACACAUCCCGAAAGAUUCGAUGUACCGAGUUGCACUUCUUCAUUUAAGCUCCCAGCUCCGCGGACAGAUCUGUGCAUUGAGUUCUGUGAAUUUGAGGAGUCAUAGGCCCGAAUCACAAUUAUCUAUUAUCCACGCCGCCGAGCAAACCAAAUUGAACUGAACUUCCUGUGACCGUCACCUCUCAUUCCUUUCGCAGCGGAAAGGGUCUUGAGCUCAGGUGCUUCCUGCCCUGCUGUGUGGAUCAAAUAACACAGAGAAUCCACCGGUGAAAAAAGAAAAAAA